GACGAACGCUGGCGGCGUGCUUAACACAUGCAAGUCGAACGGAAAGGCCCGGCACUUGUGGGAUGCUCGAGUGGCGAACGGGGGAGUAUCACGUGAGUAACCUGCCCUUGACUGUGGGAGAACUCCAGGAGACAGGGGCGAAUACCGGACAUGAGCUCCUGCAGCAUGGGGGGGGUUGGAAAGAUACGCCGGUGGGGGAUGGACACGCGGCUUAUCAGCUUGUUGGGGGGGUAGUGGCUCACCAAGGCUUGGAUGGGUAGCCGGCCUGAGAGGGUGAUCGGCCACAUUGAGACUGAGACGCGGCCCAAUCGCCUACGGGAGGCACCCGUAGGGCAUCGGCGGCGAUGGACGAAAGUCUGACCGAGCAACGCCGGGUGAGUGAAGAACGUUGUCGGAUCGUAAAACUCUGUUGGUAGAGAAGAACGUGGGUGAGAGUGGAACGCUCAUCAAGUGACGGUAACGACCCAGAAAGGGACGGCUAACUACGUG
rnacentral:rRNA from 1 species